rnacentral:rRNA from 1 species
GACGAACGCUGGCGGCGUGCUUAACACAUGCAAGUCGAGCGGUAAGGCCCUUUCGGGGGUACACGAGCGGCGAACGGGUGAGUAACACGUGGGUGACCUGCCCUUAGCUCUGGGAUAAGCCUGGGAAACUGGGUCUAAUACCGGAUAUGACUCCAUAACGCAUGUUGUGGGGUGGAAAGCCUUGUGCGGCUAGGGAUGGGCCCGCGGCCUAUCAGCUUGUUGGUGGGGUGAUGGCCUACCAAGGCGACGACGGGUAGCCGGCCUGAGAGGGCGACCGGCCACACUGGGACUGAGACACGGCCCAGACUCCUACGGGAGGCAGCAGUGGGGAAUCUUGCGCAAUGGGCGAAAGCCUGGCGCAGCGACGCCGCGUGGGGAUGACGGCCU